rnacentral:rRNA from 1 species
CCUACGGGUGGCAGCAGUGAGGAAUAUUGGUCAAUGGUCGGGAGACUGAACCAGCCAAGCCGCGUGAGGGAUGAAGGUACAGAGUAUUGUAAACCUCUUUUGUCAGGGAACAAAGGCGGGGACGUGUCCGCGGAUGAGAGUACCCGAAGAAAAAGCAUCGGCUAACUCCGUGCCAGCAGCCGCGGUAAUACGGAGGAUGCGAGCGUUAUCCGGAUUUAUUGGGUUUAAAGGGUGCGCAGGCGGUCUGUUAAGUCAGCGGUAAAAGCGCGGGGCUCAACCCCGGCCCGCCGUUGAAACUGACAGUCUCGAGUUGGAGAGAAGUAUGCGGAAUGCGCGGUGUAGCGGUGAAAUGCAUAGAUAUCGCGCAGAACUCCGAUUGCGAAGGCAGCAUGCCGGCUCCACACUGACGCUGAGGCACGAAGGCGUGGGUAUCGAACAGGAUUAGAUACCCUAGUAGUC